UACGUAGGGGGCAAGCGUUGUCCGGAUUUAUUGGGCGUAAAGCGCUCGCAGGUGGUUCGUUGCGUCGUGCGUGAAAGACCCCGGCUCAACUGGGGAGUGUCGUGCGAUACGGGCGAACUGGAGGCCAGUAGGGGGAUGCGGAAUUCCGGGUGUAGUGGUGGAAUGCGUAGAGAUCCGGAGGAACACCAGCGGCGAAGGCGGCAUCCUGGACUGGUCCUGACACUCAGGAGCGAAAGCGCGGGGAGCGAUCCGG
rnacentral:rRNA from 1 species